rnacentral:rRNA from 1 species
AAUAUGAGAGUUUGAUCCUGGCUCAGAAUGAACGUUGGCGGCACGCCUAAUACAUGCAAGUCGAACGCGAUCUUCGGAUCGAGUGGCGGACGGGUGAGUAAUACAUGGGAAUCUACCGAGAAGUGGGGAACAACUAUUGGAAACAGUAGCUAAUACCGCAUAAUCCACAUUGGGAAAGCUUUUGCGCUUUUCGAUGAGCCCAUGUCUGAUUAGCUAGUUGGUAAGGUAAAAGCUUACCAAGGCGACGAUCAGUAGCUGGUUUGAGAGGAUGAUCAGCCACACUGGGACUGAGACACGGCCCAGACUCCUACGGGAGGCAGCAGUAGGGAAUCUUGCGCAAUGGGCGAAAGCCUGACGCAGCGAUGCCGCGUGAGUGAUGACGGUUUUCGGACUGUAAAGCUCUUUUAUUAGGGAAGAUAAUGACGGUACCUAAAGAAAAAGUCCCGGCUAACUCCGUGCCAGCAGCCGCGGUAAUACGGAGGGGGCGAACGUUAUUCGGAUUUACUGGGCGUAAAGCGACUGUAGGCGGUCUUGCAAGCCAGAUGUGAAAUCCCCGGGCUUAACCUGGGAAUUGCAUUUGGAACUGCAUCACUAGAGUUAUGGAGAGGUAAGUGGAAUUUCCAGUGUAGAGGUGAAAUUCGUAGAUAUUGGAAGGAACACCAGAGGCGAAGGCGACUUACUGGCCAUAUACUGACGCUGAGAGUCGAAAGCGUGGGGAGCAAACAGGAUUAGAUACCCUGGUAGUCCACGCCGUAAACGAUGAGUGCUAACUGUCGGGAUCUCAGAUCUCGGUGGUGUAAGCUAACGCGUUAAGCACUCCGCCUGGGGAGUACGGCCGCAAGGUUAAAACUCAAAGGAAUUGACGGGGACCCGCACAAGUGGUGGAGCAUGUUGUUUAAUUCGAAGCAACGCGAAGAACCUUACCUAGCCUUGACAUGUGUAUCGUACGCUAUAGAAGUAUAGCGGUCAGUUCGGCUGGAUACAACACAGGUGUUGCAUGGCUGUCGUCAGCUCGUGUCGUGAGAUGUUCGGUUAAGUCCGGCAACGAGCGCAACCCUCACCCUUAGUUGCCAUCAUUAAGUUGGGCACUCUAAGGGAACUGCCUGGGAUAACCAGGAGGAAGGUGAGGAUGACGUCAAGUCAUCAUGGCCCUUACGGCUAGGGCUACAGACGUGCUACAAUGGAUUGUACAGAGGGACGCAAUACGGCGACGUGGAGCAAAUCCCUAAAACAAUUCUCAGUUCGGAUUGGAGUCUGCAACUCGACUCCAUGAAGUUGGAAUCACUAGUAAUCGUGGAUCAGCAUGCCACGGUGAAUACGUUCCCGGGUCUUGUACACACCGCCUGUCACGUCAUGGGAGUGGGGUUUUCCUGAAGCUGGUGAGCUAACCUUCGGGGGGCAGCCAUCCACGGAAGAACUCGCGACUGGGACGAAGUCAUAACAAGGUAGGCGUACCGGAAGGUGCGCCUGGAUCACCUCCUUUCUAA